rnacentral:lncRNA from 1 species
GGCAGAAUGAAACAUAGUGUGUGUGUUGAGAGGUACUAUCAGUUAUGCCUGAGUGGGGAUAGAUAGAGCAAGCUGGAUGAAGUUGAAUGAAAGUUAAUCCACACAGAAAAACAGCAUGAGGAAGACUGAGCCCAGACUGAGCCCGGACUGGCCUUUGCACCACAUUGUAGGCCGUGAGCUCUUGAAACUCUGGGAAUUUCCCAAGUGAUGAGAUAACAAGCUAUCUCCUGUUAUGUUAAUGAGAUGACUUUUGGACCACACCUAAGGAUGGCGGCUGGUUGCCAGGAGAACCAGCCAUGUGAUUAGAGGUUUCAGGAGAAUGCGUUAUUCCGAGGGAAUGGACUUCUUGAAUGAGGAACAGAGGGUGCAAAAUCAGUAACUGAAACACACUUUUACAUCUGUCAAAAUUGACUUUAGUGGAGACAUUUUAAGAUGGAUUGGAAUUGCCUUUCUAGAGAAAAUGCUUUGUUGUCUUGAACCUCGGACUGGGCCAAACCUUUGACUGGGCCAAACCUUUGGACUGGACCAAAAUGGCAAUUGUUUUACAAGCAAUUGUUUGAGAAGUCAGCAGAACAAACAUCCUGAUCACAAAGGCUGAUGAUUGUGGACUUUCUGAAGA